AACGUAGGUGGCGAGCGUUAUCCGGAAUUACUGGGCGUAAAGCGUGUGCAGGCGGGCUAGCAAGUGGUGUAUGAAAGCUCCCGGCUCAACCGGGAAGGGUUAUGCCAGACUGCUAGUCUUGAGUGCGAGAGAGGAGCGUGGAAUUCCGGGUGUAGUGGUGAAAUGCGUAGAGAUCCGGAGGAACCCCAGAGGCGAAGGCGGCGCUCUGGCUCGCAACUGACGCUGAGGCGCGAAAGCUAGGGGAGCAAACAGG
rnacentral:rRNA from 1 species